rnacentral:rRNA from 1 species
GGUAUGGAAUGAGAACAACUAUCUAUCCAAGGAAAAGAAAUUUUAUUUAAGGCACUGGCGUGGGCUAUUCCUAUUUAUGCAAUGUCAGUCAAAAUUCCAAAAGCUAUGUGCAAGGAUAUAAUAGAUAUUAUAUCAAAAUUUUGGUGGGCUGACGAUAAAAAUAGUAAAAGGAUGCAUUGGUGGGCAUGGUGGAAAUUAUGUUCUCCAAAAAAGAAUGGAGGGAUGGGAUUCUAUGACCUCCACUCGUUUAACUUAGCAAUUCUAGCUAAGAAAGUUUGGGGCUUAACUGGUGAACCUGUAUCAUUGUGUGAUAUGGCACUUCGAGUGAAAUAUUAUCCCUUUGGUGACAUUUUGAAAGCUGCACCAAAGAAGGGUUCACCACUCACAUGGCAAAGUCUAGUUGCUAGUAUUCAAACUUUUAAACGUGGGCAUAUAUGGAGAGUUGGCAAGCGGGAAAUGUUCAACAUUUGGGGAGACCAAUGGGUGCCUUUCGCCCCACAAGGCAAGUGA